rnacentral:rRNA from 1 species
AUGACGAUUAACAAGGCUCAAGGCCAGACGAUUCCGAUUGUUGGCGUGUACCUACCUAAUCCGGUGUUCUCUCAUGGUCAACUCUAUGUUGCAUUGUCUCGAGCCACCACAAAGAGAAAUAUAAAGAUCCUCAUUGAGAAGGAGAAGGAGAAGGAGAAUGCCAAGAAGCAAAGCGGUAAAUCUAAGAAGCGAAAAAGACCUGCCCUGUCCUUACAGACCUCGAUGAAGAACAUCAUCUAUAAGUAA